AACCUUACCAGGUCUUGACAUCCCGAUGCUAUUUCUAGAGAUAGAAAGUUACUUCGGUACAUCGGUGACAGGUGGUGCAUGGUUGUCGUCAGCUCGUGUCGUGAGAUGUUGGGUUAAGUCCCGCAACGAGCGCAACCCCUAUUGUUAGUUGCCAUCAUUCAGUUGGGCACUCUAGCGAAACUGCCGGUAAUAAACCGGAGGAAGGUGGGAUGACGUCAAAUCAUCAUGCCCCUUAUGACCUGGGCUACACACGUGCUACAAUGGCAGGUACAGAGGGCUGCGAAGCCGCGAGGUGGAGCGAAUCCCAGAAAACCUGUCUCAGUCCGGAUUGAAGUCUGCAACUCGACUUCAUGAAGGCGGAAUCGCUAGUAACCGCGAAUCAGCAGGUCGCGGUGAAUACGUUCCCGGGCCUU
rnacentral:rRNA from 1 species